GACGAACGCUGGCGGCGUGCUUAACACAUGCAAGUCGAGCGGAUGAGUGGAGCUUGCUCCAUGAUUCAGCGGCGGACGGGUGAGUAAUGCCUAGGAAUCUGCCUGGUAGUGGGGGACAACGUUUCGAAAGGAACGCUAAUACCGCAUACGUCCUACGGGAGAAAGCAGGGGACCUUCGGGCCUUGCGCUAUCAGAUGAGCCUAGGUCGGAUUAGCUAGUAGGUGAGGUAAAGGCUCACCUAGGCGACGAUCCGUAACUGGUCUGAGAGGAUGAUCAGGCACACUGGAACUGAGACACGGUCCAGACUCCUACGGGAGGCAGCAGUGGGGAAGAUUGGACAAUGGGCGAAAGCCUGAUCCAGCCAUGCCGCGUGUGUGAAGAAGGUCUUCGGAUUGUAAAGCACUUUAAGUUGGGAGGAAGGGCAGUAAGUUAAUACCUUGCUGUUUUGACGUUACCAACAGAAUAAGCACCGGCUAACUUCGUGCCAGCAGCCGCGGUAA
rnacentral:rRNA from 1 species